rnacentral:rRNA from 1 species
GAUGAACGCUGGCGGCGUGCCUAAUACAUGCAAGUCGAGCGAAUGGAUUAAGAGCUUGCUCUUAUGAAGUUAGCGGCGGACGGGUGAGUAACACGUGGGUAACCUGCCCAUAAGACUGGGAUAACUCCGGGAAACCGGGGCUAAUACCGGAUAACAUUUUGAACCGCAUGGUUCGAAAUUGAAAGGCGGCUUCGGCUGUCACUUAUGGAUGGACCCGCGUCGCAUUAGCUAGUUGGUGAGGUAACGGCUCACCAAGGCAACGAUGCGUAGCCGACCUGAGAGGGUGAUCGGCCACACGGGGACUGAGACACGGCCCAGACUCCUGCGGAAGGCAGCAGUAGGGAAUCUUCCGCAAUGGACGAAGGUCUGACGGAGCAACGCCGCGUGAGUGAUGAAGGCUUUCGGGUCGUAAAACUCUGUUGUUAGGGAAGAACAAGUGCUAGUUGAAUAAGCUGGCACCUUGACGGUACCUAACCAGAAAGCCACGGCUAACUACGUGCCAGCCGCCGCGGUAA